rnacentral:piRNA from 1 species
UGNGAAAUUCAGGAGGCACUCUGUUCAGG